rnacentral:rRNA from 1 species
CCUACGGGAGGCUGCAGUGGGGAAUAUUGCACAAUGGGCGCAAGCCUGAUGCAGCCAUGCCGCGUGUGUGAAGAAGGCCUUCGGGUUGUAAAGCACUUUCAGCGGGGAGGAAGGCGUUAAGGUUAAUAACCUUGGCGAUUGACGUUACCCGCAGAAGAAGCACCGGCUAACUCCGUGCCACAGCCGCGGUAAUACGGAGGGUGCAAGCGUUAAUCGGAAUUACUGGGCGUAAAGCGCACGCAGGCGGUCUGUCAAGUCGGAUGUGAAAUCCCCGGGCUCAACCUGGGAACUGCAUUCGAAACUGGCAGGCUAGAGUCUUGUAGAGGGGGGUAGAAUUCCAGGUGUAGCGGUGAAAUGCGUAGAGAUCUGGAGGAAUACCGGUGGCGAAGGCGGCCCCCUGGACAAAGACUGACGCUCAGGUGCGAAAGCGUGGGGAGCAAACAGGAUUAGAUGCCCGAGUAGUC